GAUGAACGCUGGCGGCGUGCCUAAUACAUGCAAGUCGAGCGAACAGACGAGGAGCUUGCUCCUCUGACGUUAGCGGCGGACGGGUGAGUAACACGUGGAUAACCUACCUAUAAGACUGGGAUAACUUCGGGAAACCGGAGCUAAUACCGGAUAAUAUUUUGAACCGCAUGGUUCAAUAGUGAAAGACGGUUUUGCUGUCACUUAUAGAUGGAUCCGCGCUGCAUUAGCUAGUUGGUAAGGUAACGGCUUACCAAGGCAACGAUGCGUAGCCGACCUGAGAGGGUGAUCGGCAACACUGGAAUUGAGAAACGGCCAAAAUCCCUACGGGAGGAAGAAGUAGGGAAUCUCCGGAAAGGGGCGAAAGCUUAAGGGGGAAACGCGGGGUGGGGAAUGAAGGCCUCGGGACGGAAAACUCUUGUAAUAAGGAAAAAAAAAAGGGGAAAGUAAUUAGCAAAGCUUGGAGGGUACAAAAUAAGAAAGCAACGGUUAAUUACGU
rnacentral:rRNA from 1 species